rnacentral:rRNA from 1 species
AGAGUUUGAUCCUGGCUCAGGAUGAACGCUAGCUACAGGCUUAACACAUGCAAGUCGAGGGGAAACGAUAUUGGAAGCUUGCUUCCGAUAGGCGUCGACCGGCGCACGGGUGAGUAACGCGUAUCCAACCUGCCCACCACUUGGGGAUAACCUUGCGAAAGUAAGACUAAUACCCAAUGAUAUCUCUAGAAGACAUCUGAAAGAGAUUAAAGAUUUAUCGGUGAUGGAUGGGGAUGCGUCUGAUUAGCUUGUUGGCGGGGUAACGGCCCACCAAGGCGACGAUCGAGUAGGGGUUCUGAGAGGAACGGUCCCCCACAUUGGAACUGAGACACGGUACCAACUCCAACGGGAGGCAGCA